AUUGAACGCCGGCGGCAUGCUUUACACAUGCAAGUCGAACGGUAACAGGGAGCUUGCUCCGCUGACGAGUGGCGAACGGGUGAGUAAUGCGUCGGAACGUGCCGAGUAGUGGGGGAUAACGCAGCGAAAGUUGUGCUAAUACCGCAUACGUACUGAGGUAGAAAGUGGGGGACCUUCGGGCCUCACGCUAUUCGAGCGGCCGACGUCUGAUUAGCUAGUAGGUGAGGUAAAGGCUCACCUAGGCGACGAUCAGUAGCGGGUCUGAGAGGAUGAUCCGCCACACUGGGACUGAGACACGGCCCAGACUCCUACGGGAGGCAGCAGUGGUGAAUUUUGGACAAUGGGCGAAAGCCUGAUCCAGCCAUGCCGCGUGUCUGAAGAAGGCCUUCGGGUUGUAAAGGACUUUUGUCGGGGAGGAAAUCCCCAGCGCUAAUACCGCUGGGGGAUGACAGUACCUGAAGAAUAAGCACCGGCUAACUACGUGCCAGCCGCCGCCGUAAGAC
rnacentral:rRNA from 1 species